GUUUUUGGGUCAGAGACUCAAAGGUACUCCUUUUCACUCUUUUAACUCAUUUUCCCUCAAAAGCAACCCUAAGUAUACCCAAAAUUCAAGAAGUUAACAACGAUUUCUUCCAAAAAUUUCAUUUCCGUCGAAGAACCCAUGUCCUAGGCAUGUUUCUCAUUCUACUUGCACACCAAAUUGGGAAAUUAAAUGACAGGAAUUGGACGAGGUAGAGGUGGAAGGGAUGGAAAGGGCCGUGGACGUGACAACAUUGGAGGAUUUCGGACACAAACGCAGCCACAAGUAUCUCAGAGACAAAUACUGCCACAAGUAUCUCAGCGACAGUCACCGCCACAAGCAUUUCAGUCGCAAAUACAAGCUUCAAUAGAAUCUGGAUCAAGUAACUCUCGCCAUGGACUUCCGAUUGAGUCACACUCAUCACAGAUUUUUGUUGAAAGUGCACAUCCAACUCCGGAGAUUGAAAAUAGUGGCCCAGCUUCGUGCAACAAAUCAAAGAAAGGCAGAGGAAAAUAUAAAUCUUUACAAGUGGACAUAAAAACGAAGCACGGAAGUAAAAUUUCUAUUGUCAUUCCAGAUGACAUUAUAAGAGCCGUGGGUCCUGGGUCUAGGGAUAUUGUUAACUAUUGUGGCUUGAUUAAGCGAAGCACUAUCUCUUUUAGAGAUGGUAAUUAGCAGGCAAUAAUUGCAAAACAUGGAGAAGCAAUGUGAUUGAAGGUUAAGCUUUACAUAUUUAUCUUAGGAUAAAUUUGAAGCUAGUGGUAUGCGACAACAUGUGUUGCAAGCUCUUGUGAUCGACACUAUGCAAAGGCUUUUUAGAGCAUGGAAGACUCGACUGCAUGCUGACUACUUCCUCUAUGAUACUGAUGAAGAGAGAUUGUCUCAUAGGCCAGAUGAUAUUACACCUGAAGAUUGGGUGUCUCUGGCAGAACAUUUUGGAAGUCUAGCAUUCAAGGCUGUGAGUGAGAGGAACAAACUAAACAGGGGGAAACAAACAACUAAGCACUCAUGUGGCUCAAAGUCAUUUGCCGAAGUGGAGGAAUCGACGAGAAAUCCUGAUAAUAGAACAAAUGCAGCACCAGAUCGAGUUUGGGAACUCCAACACACUCGUAAAAAUGACCGAGGAAAAUAGGUGUGGUCGGAUCCACAGUCACAACAAAUUCAUGGCCUACUCCAAGAAAUUGUGGCUCAACAACAAUCUGAAGAAAAUGAGCUUCCAAUUAGUGCAGAUGAGAUUUUAACCACUGUACUUGGUGAACGAACUGGCUAUGUUCGUGGAAAAGGAUACGGAAAGAGGCCUCCAAAAAAGAGUCGUAUGCAGCAAUUAGACUUAGAGGCAGGUAUGUCUUCUGCCAUGGAAAGUAUGUGCCAACAGAUGCAAGCGGAAAUGGAUAGAAAAUUGCAAGAAGAACGUGAACAAAUGGCUGUUGAUUUGGAAAGAAAAUUAGAAGAACAAGUGGCUUCUAAGUUGCAAAGGAAACUAGAAGAGGAGCGCUCACACAUGGAUAUAAAAUUUGACAAAAUGAUCUAAGUGAAGGUGGAUGCGAUGAUGAUAAGAAUGCAACAGCAAGGAUGAAAUAUUCAACAAUGGGGAAAUGAAGUUGCUCAAGGAGUUUUUUGAAGAUGUUGCGGUACUUUGAAGAUAUUGGACUAGUUUACUGACUAUUCUUUUUGUAUAUGGUAGAAUACAUUGGCGUAUAUGAAAAUUGUUUAUGUGAUUUGUUGUUUGUACGCACAAUGAUAAUGUAUUGACUACUUUAUGUUGAGUUGACCUUAUAGCAAUGAAAAGAAUCUAUUGUUCAGAUUUCACAAUA